rnacentral:rRNA from 1 species
UACGGAGGGUGCGAGCGUUGUUCGGAUUCAUUGGGCGUAAAGGGUGCGUAGGCGGCGCGGUAAGUCGGGUGUGAAAUCUUGGAGCUUAACUCCGAAACUGCAUUCGAUACUGCCGUGCUUGAGGACUGGAGAGGAGACUGGAAUUUACGGUGUAGCGGUGAAAUGCGUAGAUAUCGUAAGGAAGACCAGUGGCGAAGGCGGGUCUCUGGACAGUUCCUGACGCUGAGGCACGAAGGUCAGGGGGAGCAAACGGG